AUCCUCUUGGGUUGUUAUGAGCUCAAAGUUGAAUCUCCUCUUUGGCUGUUAGUGAGUUCUGAUCUCAAGGAGUAGGAUGGUGCAACAAUCGUAGAUAUCUAUGCUUGAUAUGUGUUUUAAGUUCAGAUGGAUCUCAAGUAAAAAUUUUACAAGAGGAUUCCACAGUCAAGGGGCAAUUCAGGGGAAGCUCUGCUCGACAGUAAAAGGAUAGAAAUAUUACUUGUAGAUCUUAAACUCAAGUUGCAGACGGCGUAGUUGAAGAUAGAGACAAGUUUUUGAAAACUCUUCAUUCACUAAGGAUGAGAUCCAUGGUGCUCAAGAAGGGUUUGAAAAUGCUAGAGGCUUAGAGUGCGUGACUUGUCUCUGCCCUUGUCUCCGCCCGGCAAGCUAUCGACUUCUUCGCUUCAGGAUGGACUAGGGGCUUCUGGUGGUUCAGAUCUGGAUCCAAGUGGUUUUUGAGGGUAAAUGGGGUUAAAAAUAACCCUAGCAUCCACAAUCGUUGGAUUAACCAGUGUACACGUGUCAUGCAGAAAAAGAAUUGAACAAGAAUUGGAAGAUCAAGAAUUAGAGACAA